CGUGUAGGCGGUUUGCCAAGUCAGAUGUGAAAGCCCCGGGCUUAACCUGGGAACUGCAUUUGAGACCGGUAGGCUAGAGGUUGGAAGAGGAGAGUGGAAUUCCCAGUGUAGAGGUGAAAUUCGUAGAUAUUGGGAAGAACACCAGUGGCGAAGGCGGCUCUCUGGUCCACACCUGACGCUGAGGCGCGAAAGCGUGGGGAGCAAACA
rnacentral:rRNA from 1 species